rnacentral:rRNA from 1 species
GACGAACGCUGGCGGCGUGCUUAACACGUGCAAGUCGAACGGUGAAGGGACCAGCUUGCUGGUUCUGGAUGAGUGGCGAACGGGUGAGUAACACGUGAGUAACCUGCCCCCUUCUUCUGGAUAACCGCAUGAAAGUGUGGCUAAUACGGGAUAUUCUGGGUCUGUCGCAUGGCGGGCCCGGGAAAGAUAUUGCUUCGGUGGGGGAUGGGCUCGCGGCCUAUCAGCUUGUUGGUGGGGUGAUGGCCUACCAAGGCGGUGACGGGUAGCCGGCCUGAGAGGGUGGACGGUCACACUGGGACUGAGACACGGCCCAGACUCCUACGGGAGGCAGCAGUGGGGAAUAUUGCACGAUGGGCGCAAGCCUGAUGCAGCGACGCCGCGUGAGGGAUGGAGGCCUUCGGGUUGUAAACCUCUUUCGCCAGUGAAGCAGGCCUGCUCCUUGUGGGUGGGUUGACGGGAGCUGGAUAAGAAGCGCCGGCUAACUACGU